rnacentral:rRNA from 1 species
GAUGAACGCUGGCGGCGUGCUUAACACAUGCAAGUCGAACGGUGAAGGCGGAGCUUGCUCUGCUGGAUCAGUGGCGAACGGGUGAGUAACACGUGAGCAAUCUGCCCCUGACUCUGGGAUAAGCGCUGGAAACGGCGUCUAAUACUGGAUACGAGCUGCGAAGGCAUCUUCAGCAGCUGGAAAGAACUUCGGUCAGGGAUGAGCUCGCGGCCUAUCAGCUUGUUGGUGAGGUAACGGCUCACCAAGGCGUCGACGGGUAGCCGGCCUGAGAGGGUGACCGGCCACACUGGGACUGAGACACAGCCCAGACUCCUACGGGAGGCAGCAGUGGGGAAUAUUGCACAAUGGGCGAAAGCCUGAUGCAGCAACGCCGCGUGAGGGACGACGGCCUUCGGGUUGUAAACCUCUUUUAGCAGGGAAGAAGCGAAAGUGACGGUACCUGCAGAAAAAGCGCCAGCUAACUACGUG